rnacentral:rRNA from 1 species
UACGUAGGGGGCAAGCGUUGUCCGGAUUCAUUGGGCGUAAAGAGCGUGUAGGCGGCCAGGUAGGUCGGUUGUGAAAACUGGAGGCUCAACCUUCAGAGGUCGACCGAAACCAUCUGGCUAGAGUCCGGGAGAGGAGAGUGGAAUUCCUGGUGUAGCGGUGAAAUGCGCAGAUAUCUGGAGGAACACCGGUGGCGAAGGCGGCGUUCUGGACUGCAACUGACACUGAGGAACGAAAGCCAGGGGAGCAAACGGG